rnacentral:rRNA from 1 species
UACGUAGGGUGCAAGCGUUGUCCGGAAUUAUUGGGCGUAAAGAGCUCGUAGGCGGUUUGUCGCGUCUGCCGUGAAAGUCCGGGGCUCAACUCCGGAUCUGCGGUGGGUACGGGCAGACUAGAGUGAUGUAGGGGAGACUGGAAUUCCUGGUGUAGCGGUGAAAUGCGCAGAUAUCAGGAGGAACACCUAUGGCGAAGGCAGCUCGCUGGGACGGUACUGACGCUGAGACGCGAAAGCGUGGGGAGCGAACAGG